GACGAACGCUGGCGGCGUGCUUAACACAUGCAAGUCGAGCGGUAAGGCCCUUUCGGGGGUACACGGGCGGCGAACGGGUGAGUAACACGUGGGUGACCUGCCCUUAGCGUCUGGGAUAAGCCGUGGGAAACUGGGUCUAAUACCGGAUAUGACUCCAUGACGCAUGUUGUGGGGUGGAAAGCCUUGUGCGGCUAGGGAUGGGCCCGGCGGCCUAUCAGCUUGUUGGUGGGGUGAUGGCCUACCAAGGCGA
rnacentral:rRNA from 1 species